rnacentral:rRNA from 1 species
AGUGAACGCUGGCGGUAGGCCUAACACAUGCAAGUCGAACGGCAGCACAGUAAGAGCUUGCUCUUACGGGUGGCGAGUGGCGGACGGGUGAGGAAUACAUCGGAAUCUACUUUUUCGGGGGGGAUAACGUAGGGAAACUUACGCUAAUACCGCAUACGACCUACGGGGGAAAGCAGGGGAUCUUCGGACCUUGCGCGAUUGAAUGAGCCGAUGUCGGAUUAGCUAGUUGGCGGGGUAAAGGCCCACCAAGGCGACGAUCCGUAGCUGGUCUGAGAGGAUGAUCAGCCACACUGGAACUGAGACACGGUCCAGACUCCUACGGGAGGCAGCAGUGUGGAAUAUUGGACAAUGGGCGCAAGCCUGAUCCAGCCAUCCCGCGUGGGUGACGAAGGCCUUCGGGUUGUAAAGCCCUUUUGUUGGGAAAGAAAAGCAGCAGGUUAAUACCCCGCUGUUCUGACGGUACCCAAAGAAUAAGCACCGGCUAACUUCGUG